rnacentral:ncRNA from 1 species
AAAAGCAUUGUCGGGAGCUUGAGAUAGUCAGGCUGAGAGGGUGGCCCUUGCCGCCGACCGUGAAAUCUGAUCUGGGUAAUGCCAGCGUAGAGAAACCUAGAACACCUUAC